rnacentral:lncRNA from 1 species
GGGGGCGGUGGCUUCUCGGCGAAUCCAGCAGCGGCGGUGGGCCCCAGGUGGAGCGCGCGCGCGCGCGGCGACGGAGACAUGCACCGGCUCCUGCAGCAGCUCGUGCUCUCGGGAAACCUCAUCAAGGAGGCGGUGCGCAGGCAGCCACGAGCCCCGCCAGUGCCCCGGGGUCCGUGGGUGGCCGAAGCCGGCCGGACUCAGUCACCCUGCAGCCCUCGGGUGCCUGGCUCUGACCCGGGGUCCCGCGGCUCGGCCGGCCCAACAGUGUCCUGCCGGGACAGUAGGGAGCCGAAGCCGUCGUCCAUCCCGCGGGCCGCAGCCCCAAAGUUACCGGCCGCGCGCGGGGCUGUUGGAGAAAACGGCCUCGACUGAGCAGCACCGGCAGCCGGCAGCCGAGGAGCUGGGAUUUACUGGGAGAACUGCGACAGCUACUUGAUGGACUUGGACCUGCCAGCCCUUGGGUGACAUCGUUUAUACUGGAUUGUGGCUCGCAGGGGCGGGAAUCGGGAGGGCUUUCUAACAAUACUUGAAUACACGGUGUCGUUAUUUUCGGGUGGAGAAGCUUCCUGGAUAUGGUGCUACAAUUGCAGAUCGGAGAGGUUCUGGGGUGAAGAGUGUUGAAGCUUGGCAGCUGGGUGGCUUGGCAGCACCUGCUUUCUGUUACAGUGAAAGGAUGAUGAGACCCAGUUGGUGAAUUCUCGAAGAUCUUUGAGAGAACUUCAUCAGCUUUCUCAGAAAUGGCCAUGGACAACCCCUUGUCCUCUGCAACCUUCGUUACUUGUGGUGUGUGGGGGGUUGGAUGAAAGCCUUGGACACACUUUUCUGCCCUGUUUUGAACCCUCUGCUGAAUCCGAGGGGCGCUCUCCUGCUUCCUCACCUGUUAGUUCUUUGUGAAUGACUGAAACCGUUUUUUUAAAAUGUGACUCCUGGAGGAGAAAUCACAGGCUUUUCCAAACCUUGUGAAACCUGAGGGUGCCCUUUGAGGUACCACCCCCAAACUUUAAGGUAGCUAAACCAUUAAAAAAAAACAAAGAUUCAAUGGCUUGUUCAUCCUCAAUAGUGUAGCUAUUGACGUACACUUGGCAACGGAGUGUCUGAAAUUGUGGUGGUCCUGAUUUAUAGGAUUUCAAUUAAAAUGUCUGCUGAAUAAACUUGGUUUUUGUUUUGGAAAAAAAAAAACCAAAAUACUGAUGGUUAUAUUUUGGGAAUGUGGGAAAGAACAA